UGCUACAUUUGAUACAUUUAUACCAUUUUGCCGCAGUGUUGUCACUAUUUCUGUGUUGAAAAAUAUGAUGCCAUAAAACAAACCUUCGAUUGUCAAUAAUUGAUAAAAUAUUAUACUUACGGUUUCCAAUGGUAUUCUCGUAUCUCUGCCUCCAUUCUUCAGAGAUAAUCAUAGCACCACAUUCUCUUGUUGUGCUUGGUACUGAUGGUUGGUGCCCACGUCUCGCUCUCUACAUCGUCCUUGCUGCUUGCAAAUAGGUAUACGUCCUUGCUGCCUCCGGAAACCUAAUUAUUGAAUAUUAUGUAUAGUGUACAGCUCUCUGUCUCAAUGAACGAAUAAAAGCCGUUUGGUUGUCAUUAUUAUGUUCUACAAGUCUCUGUGGAACACAUGUAUGAGGUCUUGUUAGUUUAAAAUCACUAUUGUCUUGUCUUAUGCUGCCUCUGCCUCGACAUUGGGAAUUGAAAUAAUUUGUGCAUCUCAAUUGUCUGUUUCGUUAUGGCUGCAAUAUUGGAAAUUUAAGCUAUCAAUAUAUAUGUUGGAUCGCCCAUGAACUCCUGGCACCAUACGAACACCAUUCCGAUUACCUAUAGUU